UGAACAUAUUUCACGAAAUUGAGAAUAGCAACGAUCCAAGUUCAAAAGGAUCUCAUUCGAAUGGAUGAUUUAGAUCUGUUUCGUCAAUAAUUGAUACAUUCGUCUAUGAUCUUCAAUUGAGAAACGAUUGAUAUCAUCUAAUUCAGUGCAACUUUUAUAUAAUUCGGUAAGUCCAUAGCUGAACUCAAUUCCAAGAGUAAAAUCUAUGUCUUAGGAAGGUUUUUGACUUCCUACGAAACAAUUGUUUUAAAAUCCAUCGUAAUAGAAUUCUCUGACUUUGAUUGAACAAAUCGAGUCAACUGUACUAGCGAUGAUUCUUCGUAACAUUCCAUUUGGACGUCAUUUGACGUACUAAGAAGGCUUUGUUUAUAGUUCAAAUUUUAGCUUACUAGAUUGUUUUUAGCAUAUAAAAUUAAACUGAGUUAUUUCAGAUAAAUGAGCUGGAUUACCGAGGUGAAGCAAUUGGUUAAGUUGUGUGAGUAAAACCCCUGUACGAUACAAGCAAUUAGUGACGUCACUACUUGCGUUUACGUUGAUUUUUUUGUUUACUAAUACAACAAUAUUUCACGAUCUGCUUUACCUCUCUUUGUACCACAUUGAUUUCAAAUAAUGAUGGCGCUUAACCUUCUUCGACUACAUAAUUUGAACAUUUUUGAUUGGAUUAAUAUUCGUUUUCAAAUGUUUGACAGUACUGUCAAUGUUGCCAGAUUGACGAUGCAUUUUACCUAAACUUACUUAUGACCAUUGAAAGCAGUUAUUCAGCUAAAAUCAUUAGUUUUUGCACUAUCAUCGAUCUACUGGGAUUCCUCAGAAUUACUAAAGUAAACCAUCAACCACUCUGACAACACUGGUCGCUCCUGCGCUGUUCCUUUCACCCUGUCCAUCCCUAUUAACCUAUCUGUGACAGUACCGGAACUGUGUACGAAUACACUCUUUCUAAAGAUACAAAAAUUACGGCAAUCUGAGAGACUGAUAGUGACUAUUGUGUAGAGAGAAAAAAAAUGCUUGUUUUUACAGACAAAACACAACAAACAAACAAAAUCUACUGAAGAUCUGAUUUGCAAUCUAAACAACAGAACACCGAAAUAAACACAAAAAUGUCGAAUCCUCCUUCAUAUCUUUUCCGUCUAGGGACUUGUUCACGUGUAGCUAAAACGAGAGUCAAUUACGUGUUUGUGUAAGCUAGGAAUUACUAACAAACUAUCGAUAAAGUGAAAAGAAAUUAAAAACCAAAGACCAAAGAUUAAAUAAGACUCUUGCCUGCGUGGCCAAGGAACACACAAACACCGAAAAAUACAGAAACGCACACACGCACACAUACACGCACAAGGUCUGACUCGCUUGCGCUUUCCUUAUAUGUAUAUGUACUAUUAAUGCAAACAACUUUGUGAGACGUGUCUGUGUGUGUGCCACUAACCUUCUUCAACUCCUUUUUUAAGACAGUUUAUUUUUGCGUGUGUAAAUCAGAUUCCCGCUGAACAGUGAAAAAACGCUGUCAAACGAAAAAGAAUAUACAAAAUAGUCCCAUUGUUUCUCCCCUUUCCGCACUCUAAUAGCAUCGAAAAUAAAAAUAAAAAACUUCGCUAUUUGUUAGGUUAAGCAAAACUAAUUUAUUUGUAUAAACUGAACGAGUCUACACGAAAAAGCUAAAACGGGAUAGAAAAGUAAGUAGCUGAACUCCCCCGAGUUGCCUUGGAAACCGAAAUAACAGACUGCAACCAAUGUGCCUUGAUUCGGGAAAAAUACUAAAAAACAAACAAUGAAUGCAUGAUUCAUCCAAAAUCAGUAUAUCACUAACCUAAUCCAGGCUGAAACUGACAAACGAAGAAGCAAAUCUAACACCGUUUUCCACCCUGUCUUGUUAAGCUUAGAUAGAUAGAGACAUAGAACAAAGCAGCCUAUUUUAGCUAGAGUUGUACGAUAAGUCCACACCUAUAUAUUUUAUAUUAACUUAAUAUACACAAAGAUCAAGAGAGAGAGAGAAAAUGCAAACUAUUUUCUGACAGCAUCAAUAAAUAUUGUUGAAAUGAAUAAAA